UACGUAGGGACCAAGCGUUGUCCGGAAUCAUUGGGCGUAAAGAGCGUGUAGGCGGCUUGUUAAGUCUUGCGUGAAAUCUCGGGGCUCAACCCCGAGCGGUCGUGAGAAACUGGCAGGCUAGAGUGCGGGAGAGGAGAGUGGAAUUCCUGGUGUAGCGGUGAAAUGCGCAGAUAUCAGGAAGAACACCCGUGGCGAAGGCGGCUCUCUGGACCAUAACUGACGCUGAGAUACGAAAGCGUGGGUAGCAAACAGG
rnacentral:rRNA from 1 species